AAUACAUAAAUUUCACUUCUUUUUCUGUCCUUUUGCCAGAAAAAGGCCUACAUUGCAAUAUAUGAAGGUAGGAUUAUAGUAGAAAAUGAGGAAUGGCUAUCAUGUAGAAAUUCUGUACUUAAAGGACAGAACAUCAACUCUAAGUGAAGUAAAAUGUCACAGUUUUGGGUUUUCUCCCAUUGAGAAGGUUAAUACAUGAAAUAACCUUUUGUGGUGGUACGUGAAAUAACUGAAUUGCACAGUGGUGAGGAAUGGCUGUGGAAGAAGGAAGCCCUUUUAUGGGUCACAUAUGCACAAGUGACCAUGUCCUAGUGUGACCAGCUACUCUGGUUUGCUAAAGGCUGAGGGGGAUACCAGGAUGCUGGACUCUUCGGUGCUCAAACUCGGAUAGUUUUGGGAAAACUGAGAGAAGUCGGUUGCGCUAUUAUGCCCCCUGUCUACAUAACAGAUUAAUUCAGAUGAGGGCAUAUCCUAAACCAGACCAUUUAGACUCUUUGCCCUAGAAAUUUUAAAUGAGGCAGAAACACAAAGAGAAUAUAGUUACUCAUUAGAACUGAGUCACACAAAUGGCACUUCCUUAUAGAAAAGAUCUAUUAACACCCUUUGCCAAAGACCCAGGACCUGCCCUGUUUCCUUUGGUUACAGGAGAUAUCCCUGUAUAAUUCCAAAACUUUUUCUUUUUUGGCUAGUCAAAGACGAUUGCUGUUGCUUGCAACCAAAAUAAUCUUAAGGAGGGUAUUUAUGUCCAAUCCCUAUAUAAGGUAAUGUGCUCCAAGAGCCCCUUCUGAAUGGGCACUGAGCUUAAUGAAGCGUACUCAUUGCCACAGCAAACAAGACCAGGUAUGAACACUAAACUCAAACAGGCCUAGAAAGUCUCACAUGCAUGGAUUUUGCAAUGCACUUACAGGACUCCACUCUUGCAUGCUUAAUUAAAAUGUUGUCUAAACCUAGAAUUAGGUUAGGCAUGAGUAAGUUCUUCAAAACUGAUGGGAAAAAAGGGAGAGCAACAGGAAUGAUGAAAAGGAAAUCAGGAUAAGGGGAGAAAGAUGGAAAAAGAAGACUUAUCCGAGAG